rnacentral:lncRNA from 1 species
GAAAGGGCAAAUUCUUGAAGGAGGAAUUGCGUUUAAUAAAGCGCACGGAAUGCAUAUCUACGAUUACUUAGGCGUUGACUCAAGUUUCAAUGAUGUUUUCAGUAAUGGAUCUACGAUUACAUGGGCGUUGACUCAAGAUUCAAUGAUGUUUUCAACAAUGGAAUGUUAAGCCACACUUCUGUUGUCAUGGAGAAGGUCCUAGAAUCAUACAAAGGCUUUGAGCAUGUUAAGAAGCUUGUCGAUGUUGGUGGCGGCUUAGGAGCUACUCUUAACAUUAUAAUUUCCAAAUACUCUCAUAUUAAGGGUAUUAAUUAUGAUUUACCUUAUGUUAUUAAAAAUGCCCCAUCUUACCCUGGUAUGUUACUUACAAAAUUUAUAUACUAUUUUUGUUAAUGAUUCAUUGAUGGGAUACACAAUAGCUAACAAAAAUUAUUAUUAUUAUUAUUAUUUUAAUUUCAGGCAUUGAACAUGUAGGUGGAGAUGUUAAAGUAUGAGCUUUAAACUGAAUUCCAGAAGAUCAACCGUCAUGUCAGUCUGUGGUAAUGUUGAUAUACGACAUGUCAGCUAUAAAGGAUACAAGCCUGUAUGACAAACUUUGGUCGUCAGCCAAAGCUUUAAGUGAAGCACGUAAAUGUCACGUGAUUCCACUUACUCUGAACGGCAUGAAAGAAUGUCGUUUUGGGGCUUGCUGUUUGUAAGGGUUUCAACACGUGUCCUGGAAGCUGUUAAAAUCAGUUAUUGCAGGCGGGAGAAUUCUGGGUUUGUAAGCUAACAAACCCAGAUUACAGCUGGUUGACAGGGGGUCUUUGUAACGGGCUCUAAGCUAGUAUAAAUAGUCUAAGGGACUGGGAAAUCAGAGAGGGUGUUGUUUGUAACUUCGUCUCUAAACUUGUAACUUGUUCUUGGUUAUUGAAUAAAAGCUGUUGCUCUGUUCUUCAGUGGAUGUAGGCUGCCUCCAGCCGAACCACUUAUAUUUGUUGUUCUUUGCAUAUUGUUUCUGGGUGAUUUAGAUGUGUGAAAUUGGUUUAACCUUUCUUGAAACAUUGAUUAGAGAGUUCAGCUAGAUCCUGGAGAUUCUUGAUUGGAUAAUAAUUCUGGUCUAGGUUCAACAAAUUGGUAUCAGAGCCUUAUCUCUGAUCUUUGAUCCAAGAAAUGGGAACCUCUAAAUUUGAGGUAGAAAAAUUCACUGGAGAAAACGACUUCCAUCUAUGGCGGCUCAAGAUGAGAGCUCUGUUGGUUCAUCAGGGGCUGGAGGAGACUUUGGGUGAUCCAAGAUCUGAAAAGAAACCCAGCAAGCUUUCUGAUGAUGAAAUGCGAGAUGCUUUGGAUAAAGCUCAUAGCACACUAAUCUUGAGUCUGGGAGAUGGAGUUCUCAGGGAAGUGGGAGAUCAAACAACUGCUGCAGGCCUCUGGAUAAAACUUGAAGACCUAUAUACCAAGAAGUCUCUAACCAAAAGACUUUGUACCAAAAACAAAGAAGGCAGAAACAAAAGCUGGGGAAGGUCUGAUGGCAAGAGGAAGACCUGAGAAGAAAGAUUACAACAAAGGGAAGAAAAGAGACAAGUCAAAGUCCAAGAAUAAAAAUCUGAAAUGCUUUCACUGUCACAAGGAAGGGCAUUUCAAGAGGGACUUCCCAGAUAGAAAGAACAAGGGAAAGGAAGGGCAUGGAAAGAAUGGUGAUGCUGCUGUUGCAUCAGAGGAUGAAGGCUAUGACUCAGCUGGUGUCCUUUUGGCUUCUGAAACUCAGACAAACAGUAAGUGGAUUCUUGAUUCUGGAUGUUCAUAUCACAUGUGCCCUGAUCAAAAUCUUUUUACUACUUAUAAUGCUUUUAAUGGAGGUGAGGUUCUGAUGGGGAAUAACACAAUGUGUAAGGUUGUUGGGUGAGGAACCAUUAGAUUGAAGAUGUUUGAUGGGAUGAUUAGGGAGCUAAGAGAUGUGAGGCAUAUUCCUGAUCUAAAGAGGAAUUUAAUAUCUCUAGGCACUCUAGAUCAAGUUGGAUGCUCCAUUAAAGUUGAAUAUGGGGUAAUGAAGGUUGUUAGAGGGUCUAUAGUGGUUAUGAAAGGGAAUAAGCAAAAUGGCUUAUAUGUGCUUCAAGGCACAGCUGUAACUGGGGAUGUUAGUAUCUCAGCAAGUCUGGGUUUGGAUAAAACUCUCAUAUGGCAUCUAAGGUUAGGACAUAUGAGUGAGAAGGGGCUAAAAAUUUUAGAAAAACAGGGAGUCUUAGGGGAUGAUAAGUUGGGAUCUCUGGAGUUCUGUGAGGUAUGUGUCCUAGGCAAGUCCUCAAGAACUAGUUUCAAAACUGCAGUGCAUAACACAAAAGGGACCUUAGAUUACAUCCAUUCAUAUCUGUGGGGGCCAUCACAGACUGUCUCUUUAGGUGGAGCAAAAUACUUUCUCUCUUUUAUAGAUGAUUACUCGAGAAUGGUAUGGGUUUAUGUCUUGAAAGGCAAGGAUGAAGUCUUUGAGAGGUUUAAACAAUGGAAAGCAUUGGUAGAAACUCAGAGUGGUAGGAGGAUUAAGAGACUGAGGACUGAUAAUGGGCUUGAAUUCUGCAACAAACAGUUUGAUGAUUUCUGCAAACUCAAUGGCAUAGCAAGACACAAAACAGUGAGUUACACUCCACAGCAGAAUGGGCUAGCAGAAAGAAUGAAUAGGACUUUGAUGGAUAAAGUCAGAUGUUUACUGAUCCACUCAAAGCUUCCUCAAACACUGUGGGCUGAAACCUUGAUGACAGCAUGUUAUCUAGUGAAUAGAAGCCCAUCCAGUGCCUUAAACUUCAAGACACCAGUAGAGAUGUGGUCAGGAAGGGCAGCAAAUUAUUCAAAUCUAAAGAUCUUUGGUUGUCCAGCAUAUGCACAUGUCAAGCAAGGGAAGCUGGAGCCAAGAGCACUGAAAUGUGUAUUCCUGGGUUAUCCUGAAGGUGUCAAAGGUUAUAAACUAUGGUGCACUGAAAUGAGGCCACCAAAGUGCAUAGUCAGCCGAGAUGUAGUCUUCAAUGAAACUGCUGCAGGCCUCUGGAUAAAACUUGAAGACCUAUAUACCAAGAAGUCUCUAACCAAAAGACUUUGUACCAAAAAUAGGCUGUAUACUUUGCAAAUGGAGGAAGGAAGCUCUCUGGCAACUCACAUUGAUAGCUUUAACAGGAUCAUCCUGGAUCUUGAAGAUAUCAAUGUGAGUCUUGAGGAUGAAGACAAGGCAAUAAUCUUGUUAGCAUCUCUCCCACCAUCCUAUGAACACUUUGUAGAUACACUGCUCUAUGGAAGGCAGUCAAUAUCAAUGGCUGAUGUAAAGGACUCUCUUAGUUCUAAAGAAGUCACAAAGAAGACAGAAACAAGAGCUGGGGAAGGUCUGAUGGCAAGAGGAAGACCUGAGAAGAAAGAAUACAACAAAGGGAAGAAAAGGGACAAGUCAAAGUCCAAGAAUAAAAACCUGAAAUGCUUUCAUUGCCAUAAAGAAGGGCAUUUCAAAAGGGACUGUCCAGAUAGAAAGAACAAGGAUAAAGAAGGGCAUGGAAAGAAUGGUGAUGCUGCUGUUGCAUCCGAGGAUGAGGGCUAUGACUCAGCUGGUGUCCUUUUGGCCUCUGAAACUCAGACAAACAGUAAGUGGAUUCUUGACUCUGGAUGUUCAUAUCACAUGUGCCCUGAUCAAAAUCUUUUUACUACUUAUAAUGCUUUUAAUGGAGGUGAGGUUCUGAUGGGGAAUAACACAAUGUGUAAGGUUGUUGGGUUAGGAACCAUUAGAUUUAAGAUGUUUGAUGGGAUGAUUAGGGAGCUAAGAGAUGUAAGGCAUAUUCCUGAUCUAAAGAGGAAUUUAAUAUCUCUAGGCACUCUAGAUCAAGUUGGAUGCUCCAUUAAAGUUGAAUAUGGGGUAAUGAAGGUUGUUAGAGGGUCUAUAGUGGUUAUGAAAGGGAAUAAGCAAAAUGGCUUAUAUGUGCUUCAAGGCACAGCUGUAACUGGGGAUGUUAGUAUCUCAGCAAGUCUGGGUUUGGAUAAAACUCUCAUAUGGCAUCUAAGGUUAGGACAUAUGAGUGAGAAGGGGCUAAAAAUUCUAGAAAAACAGGGAGUCUUAGGGGAUGAUAAGUUGGGNNNNNNNNNNNNNNNNNNNNNNNNNNNNNNNNNNNNNNNNNNNNNNNNNNNNNNNNNNNNNNNNNNNNNNNNNNNNNNNNNNNNNNNNNNNNNNNNNNNNNNNNNNNNNNNNNNNNNNNNNNNNNNNNNNNNNNNNNNNNNNNNNNNNNNNNNNNNNNNNNNNNNNNNNNNNNNNNNNNNNNNNNNNNNNNNNNNNNNNNNNNNNNNNNNNNNNNNNNNNNNNNNNNNNNNNNNNNNNNNNNNNNNNNNNNNNNNNNNNNNNNNNNNNNNNNNNNNNNNNNNNNNNNNNNNNNNNNNNNNNNNNNNNNNNNNNNNNNNNNNNNNNNNNNNNNNNNNNNNNNNNNNNNNNNNNNNNNNNNNNNNNNNNNNNNNNNNNNNNNNNNNNNNNNNNNNNNNNNNNNNNNNNNNNNNNNNNNNNNNNNNNNNNNNNNNNNNNNNNNNNNNNNNNNNNNNNNNNNNNNNNNNNNNNNNNNNNNNNNNNNNNNNNNNNNNNNNNNNNNNNNNNNNNNNNNNNNNNNNNNNNNNNNNNNNNNNNNNNNNNNNNNNNNNNNNNNNNNNNNNNNNNNNNNNNNNNNNNNNNNNNNNNNNNNNNNNNNNNNNNNNNNNNNNNNNNNNNNNNNNNNNNNNNNNNNNNNNNNNNNNNNNNNNNNNNNNNNNNNNNNNNNNNNNNNNNNNNNNNNNNNNNNNNNNNNNNNNNNNNNNNNNNNNNNNNNNNNNNNNNNNNNNNNNNNNNNNNNNNNNNNNNNNNNNNNNNNNNNNNNNNNNNNNNNNNNNNNNNNNNNNNNNNNNNNAAAACACCUAAGAGGUUUGCAUAUGCAGAUUUGAUUGCAUAUGCUCUAACAGCAGCCCAUGAAUUAGACAAUGAUGAGCCCAAAACCUACAGAGAAGCUGUUUCAGGAAAGGAUGCAGAUAAGUGGAUAAAAGCUAUGAAGGAUGAAAUGGAGUCAUUACACAAAAAUAACACCUGGAAGCUUGUAAAAGGGCCAGAAAAUAAAAAGGCAGUAGGCUGUAAAUGGGUUUACAAGAUCAAGCAGGGUAUACCAGGGGUUGAAUCCAUGAGAUAUAAAGCUAGGCUGGUUGCCAAAGGCUACACACAGAGGGAGGGGAUUGAUUUUACAGAAGUCUAAUCACCUGUAGUUAGGCAUACCUCAAUAAGACUGAUCCUAGCUCUGGUUGCAGUUCAUAACAUGCAUCUUGAACAGAUGGAUGUUAAGACUGCAUUUUUACAUGGUGAGCUUGAAGAACAAAUAGUAAUGUCUCAACCUGAAGGCUUUGAAGACCAGUCAAAUGGUGAUUGGGUAUGCCUUCUGAAGAAAUCACUUUAUGGCCUCAAGCAGUCUCCAAGACAGUGGUAUCUCAGGUUUGACAGCUUUAUGAUAAAACUUUGUUUUCAGAGGUGUAAUCUAGACUGCUGUGUUUACUACAAAGAGAUAUCAGGGGACAUGGUUUAUCUGAUUCUGUAUGUGGAUGACAUGCUUAUUGCCAGCAAAAGCAUGGGACACAUAAAUUUUCUGAAACAACAACUCAAAGGUGAAUUUGAGAUGAAGGAUCUGGGACCAGCUAAGAAGAUACUUGGAAUGCAGCUAAUUAGAGAUUGGAAAUCUGGCACCUUGUUUCUUACACAGGAAGAUUACAUCAGGAGAGUACUUGAUAAGUUUGACAUGACUACUGCCAAACCAGUGCAAACACCAUUACCAGCCCAUUUCAGAUUAUCAGAACAACAGUGCCCAAUAACUGAUGCUGACAAGUCUGAAAUGAUAAAAAUACCUUAUGCAAGUGCUGUAGGCUGCUUAAUGUAUGCUAUGGUACUCACCAGACCUGAUAUAGCACAUGCAGUCAGUGUGGUCAGCAGGUAUAUGUCUAAUCCUGGAAAAGAACAUUGGAAGGCUGUAAGGUGGAUACUCAGGUAUCUAAGGGGAACUUCUGGGCAUGGUCUGAUAUAUAGGGGACAGAGAAGAGAUGGCAGUUUAAUUGUGGGAUAUGUGGAUGCUGAUUAUAUUAUGAUUUACCUUAUGUUAUUAAAAAUGCCCCAUCUUACCCUGGUAUGUUACUUACAAAAUUUAUAUACUAUUUUUGUUAAUGAUUCAUUGAUGGGAUACACAAUAGCUAACAAAAAUUAUUAUUAUUAUUAUUAUUUUAAUUUCAGGCAUUGAACAUGUAGGUGGAGAUGUUAAAGUAUGAGCUUUAAGCUGAAUUCCAGAAGAUCAACCGUCAUGUCAGUCUGUGGUAAUGUUGAUAUACGAUAUGUCAGCUAUAAAGGAUACAAGCCUGUAUGACAAACUUUGGUCGUCAGCCAAAGCUUUAAGUGAAGCAUGUAAAUGUCACGUGAUUCCACUUACUCUGAACGGCAUGAAAGAAUGUCGUUUUGGGGCUUGCUGUUUGUAAGGGUUUCAACACGUGUCCUGGAAGCUGUUAAAAUCAGUUAUUGCAGGCGGGAGAAUUCUGGGUUUGUAAGCUAACAAACCCAGAUUACAGCUGGUUGACAGGGGGUCUUUGUAACGGGCUCUAAGCUAGUAUAAAUAGUCUAAGGGACUGGGAAAUCAGAGAGGGUGUUGUUUGUAACUUCGUCUCUAAACUUGUAACUUGUUCUUGGUUAUUGAAUAAAAGCUGUUGCUCUGUUCUUCAGUGGAUGUAGGCUGCCUCCAGCCGAACCACUUAUAUUUGUUGUUCUUUGCAUAUUGUUUCUGGGUGAUUUAGAUGUGUGAAAUUGGUUUAACCUUUCUUGAAACAUUGAUUAGAGAGUUCAGCUAGAUCCUGGAGAUUCUUGAUUGGAUAAUAAUUCUGGUCUAGGUUCAACAUGAGACUUGUUUGAAAGUGUUCUUGAGACAGAUACCAUUUUCAUGAAGGUUAUAUGUGUGUGUGUGUGUUAUUUGAAAUUAUCGUUAUAAGGAAAAAUUGAUUUAGGGUGAAUCACACUUUUCUCCCUAAUAUUUUGUAGAUUUACCUUAACCUGUUACUCACUUGAUAUUAGAAUUUUCCCAAAAACACUUAAAAGGAAUACCAAAAUAUUAUGAAAACUGUAAAAAAAAAAAAGGUUAAUUCACUGUAUACGUAUGUUUUGUUCUAUAACAUAAAUUGAUCAUAUAUAUUCAGAUUAAUAGAUCUAAUGAGAAUUAACAUGAAUAUUAAACUUUUGCAGUGGGUCCUUAAUGGUUUUGAUGAUGAGCAGUCCUUGAAAUUGUUGAAAAAUUGUUACAAAGCUCUUCCGGAUGGUGGGAAAUUGCUUAAUGUUAAUGCAGCAUUUCCAGAAGUGCCUGAGAAUAGCGCGACUUCAAGGGAGAUCUCCCUCUUGGAUACAAUUUGUUUAAUCCAAGUUCCUCAUGGAAGAGAGCGGACCAAACAAGAAUACAGUGACUUAGCAAUCAAAGCUGGAUUUAAAGGCGUCAACUACGAAUAUUGUGCAUGCAAUUUAUAUGUUAUGGAAUUCCUCAAAUAAUAAAUUGCUUUAUUUGUAUUAGGAAAGGUCUUCUCAACUCUGUUUGGGGAGUCACCAAUUUCUGGUUUGUGUUACUUAAUUUUUCUUCUCGUUUGGCCUUAGCGCUUCUCUUAUGUACUCUUUUUCAUUCUAUGAACAUUUGUUUCUUUAAAGGAGAUUGACUGCUUUAACAUAGCUCUUAUGCACUCUUCUCCAUUUUAAUUUUUAUCGAGGAAAAAAAUAGUGUAUUCAUCUUACUUUGUUAUUUUUUUUCUUUUCCUGGUUAUUUCAAAGUUAUGUUGUGCAAAAAUCAGCAAUAUAUAAUUAAUAAUUUAAAGUAAUAAAGUUUGAUUUUUGAACGUAAUAAAAUACACAGUAAAUGAAUCAAAUGAAGUCUGAAAAUAUAUUGAAAAUGGAUUAUAGAGAUAUUAAUUUUUCAUUAAACAACUACUGAGAGCUAAUGAUGUAGAACGUUAUUUUAGGAAUUUUAAAAUUUUAAAAUUUUAUUAUUUUAGGAUUUUCUAUUUUAAUUAGAGUCAAUUAUGAUAUUCUAUUAUUUUAAAACUUUCUAUUUUCAUUAUAGUCAAUUAAAGUAUGAGAUUUAGUUAACUUAGGAAAGUAUCUUUUAUUUUCAUUUUAGAUUAUGAUUUAGUUUUUUAUUUUUAAAUUAGCUUAGGGAAAUUAUAUUUUAAUUCCAUUAUAAUUGUGAUUUAGUUUUCUUUUUGAGUUAAUUUACGGAAGUGAGUUUUCUUUUAAUAUAAAUAUUAAAUAGAGAGGUCUUGUCAUUUUUUUAGACUCAAUUAUUCUAUAAAUUUUAUUACAAAAUUUAUUUUUUCUAUCUUCUUUACAAUUCCACUUCGUAAGCUACUAUAGGUCAAAGGGGUUAAAAAAAUAGUAGAAGUCUUUCGAAACAAGUCACAUAUGACAGACACAUCAGAACUAGAAGUAAAUAAUAUAGUUUGCACAGGCAAAAGGAUUUCCAGCGUUUCGUCAAAGGCACAAUUGACCCAACGCCUGAUUGACCAAAACAAGUAGUUGAUUAUUGUAAUGGAUCCGCCACCAUACCAUAAAUUUUAUCUUUAUUCAACAAAGCCGUUGGAUGCAUUUUUGUUCAGUCUAACGACUGAAAUUAUUUAUUGGAGAAUUGAUGCAGCAACUUACAACCGUUGCAACGGUUUGUAUAUUAAUCUAAUUGCAUCAACGCGUUUUCCAAAAAUUUCUCAGCACUGCAUUAACAACACUAUUUCAUCUGAAAAUCGAUCUGGAGAUAGCAAUUAACAAACAAAAUUGGAACUGGAGGAUCAGAUUUUUUUGUUGUGAUUAAACAUUUGUGAUGAUUCGGUACAUGGAUAUGUUCUUUCACUUGCAGUCAAGCGAUGACGAAAUUAUAAUCAUCGCGGGGAAGUGCAACCAAAAGCUAGGGGUGAUGAAAGUUUAGGCAUAUAUCAAAUCAGAGUGAAUCUCGCGUCACUUUAAUCCGUUCUUGUGCCGAUUGAAUCACCCGAGGCAGUAAGUAAUUCCUUACUAAAACUAGUAAUUUUUUUUUUUUUAUUUGAAGAGAUUUAAAACUUGUAAUUACGAUUGGUUGAACACUUCACAAAUGAGUUAAUUGAACAAUUGGUAAUGGGGUGAUGUGAGGAAGUCUCCCGGGGCUAUGGCUGAGCUGAGGAAGCAAGUUGGAUGUAAAAUGAAAUUCUUUGUGCGAACACAAUGGAACCAAUAUCAGUUCAAUCUCUAUAUGAUAGAGUUCAAGUAUAGAUUUUACUAUUUGAGGUACGUUUUAAGUUCAUAAUCAAAAUUUACAUUUUUUGAAACAACCAUUUGUUGUAUGAUGGGUGAGGAACAAUAACAUUAUCAAUUCCCUCAGGCUAAAGGACACUACAGCCUUCUGUGUUAAGCCGUUUGCUUCAAUUUUCCAUUUCUAAUUACAGCUUCUUUAUCGUCAACACCAUCCUUAACCUUAAGUAAGCUUUUUUCUUUUAUUAUUAUUAUUGUUGUUGUUGUUGUUGCCUGAUUCAUUGAACUUUUCCAAUUUUGAAGUCGGUUAGUGAUGCUUUGAGCAAAUUUGGGAUCACAUUCGUUAAUUCGUUUGCUUUACAUGUUAAUAAAUAAUAGAGCAAUUUUAAAACUGCAUGUAACCUGUUUGAAAAAAUUUCUUCUAUAGAUAACUUUUUUUUCCUAGUCUAUUGGUUGUGAAUAAUGUUGUGAAGUUGAUAAAAGAUGGGAAUUCUUUAGUUUUGAUUUUACUCUUUGAGGAACUAUAGAACAUGACAAAUAGAGUUUGUUGUGUGAGGGGCACAUGUUCUCUCACAAGUGCUUGGUUCUUUAAUAUACAAAUAUAAGACACCUUAUGAUGAAAAAUGGAGUUGAUAAACUGACUCCAGACUAUCUGACCCAUUACAUUUUGGAUUUCGAUUCUUAGAUGAGAUUCCUCUUUCCAUUCUUUCAAUUUUCAAAUUUACUAGUGGCACUUUCAUUUGGUAAACUACACACACACACACACACACACAUACAGAUAUACACUAAUCAAUUAUAUUGACUUAUUUUCGUUUUCUUUUGAUUCAUGCUGCCGAUAUAUAUAAAAUUUUAUUUGUCAAAUUUAGAGGAGAAUUAGUUUUGCUACAUAUAGAUAAUGAACCCAAAUAUGUUUACAUGCAUGUCUGGGGUUUGUUUUAUCUUUGAGGAGCAGCAUUACCCAUCAAAAGUUUGAAGAGCUCUGUGAACUUAAGCAUUCGGGGUUGAAAAUGGAUAAGAUAUAUGCAGUGGAGUUAAUUAGAAGAGCUACUAGAGUGCCAAAGUUGCAGGUUUUCUCUAUCCUCUUUGUUUUGGUAGUUACCUGAGUAUUAAAUUCUUGAGGCCGGUAAGAUGGUAGACUUUAGCUCAAUUUAAGAGUAGAAAAUAAUAUAUGUUUACUUGUGUUAGUCUUAAUUUUUAAUCACUUAGCCUCAAAUAAGAAAUUUUUUAUGUUUGCUCUGCAAUGAUGUUAUUUAGUGUUAAUAGCUUUAUUUUGUUACUAUUUGUCUACACAGAUUCUUGUUCUCAAAAGACCUUUUACUUUAAAUAUUUGGCAUAAGGACAAUCUCAUUUAAUACCAUCAAUAAUUUUCAUUUUUUCUCAUUAGUUUUAAUAUGUUUGAUAACUGUAUGGUUAAGCAAUCUAUGCAAUGUUAUCUUGUCAUUAGUUUGAGCUCAUUUUUUAUUACAAUUAUGAAUAUUUGUUAUGAAUGAUAUCAUACUGGAAAAUAUUGUUAACUUGUUAAUUUCGUAAAUGUGAUAUCUUGUCAAAGUGACUAAUAGCAUUUCAUCAUGCUAUGAGUUAAACAUGGAACAAAUGAUGACAUACAGUUGUGGAAUGUGGCAGAUCUCCAGGACUCUUAUGUGCUCAUGCUUGCAGACGUAUAUUUUUGCUGCAUACUUUUAGGUUCGAUGGCUUUCAUUUCUAAUUGAAGUGUAUUUGAUUGCGGUGCAACGUGGGGUGACUUAUGUUGUCUUAUACAAUGAAAUGAGUGAUUACAUAAUUUAGGAAAAGCUCGAGUGUGGGUGAACGAUAUAGAGUGCUAUAUGAGUUAUGCUAACUGUUGUGACCUUGAUUUUGCAUUGAUUUUGGGCAUUGAUUUUGGUUGAUAAACAAAUGUGUGGUGGAUCAUGGAUGGAUGUAUGGAUGAGGAUAAUAAAUAAAUGAAAAUAUACAUCAGACACAAGCAGAUAAAUUAAGGGUAAUGGAACUUGAUUGAGGUUAGUACUUCUUCUACUACAAAGCAAAUCAUCACCCACAGAAAUUCGUACAAGCAUGUUUCUGUUGGCAAGUUUAGCAGAUGGAGACAACAUAGGAGCUAUACGCACCAUUAUCUAAAAGAAGCAAAGUAAUGUUGUGUUUAUCAAAGUUUUCAAAUUAAUGAUGUGCUCGUCAAGAUUUUACACGUAACAAAUUAGACUGAAAUUUAACCGUCAUUUACAAAGAAGUUUGAUUUAUUCACUAACCGCAAACAAGUACAUGCUGCUUUGUUUGCUGUUUGUAGAAAAUUGAGUCACGUCGACUAAGUUCUAACAAUAAACAUUAGUAAAGCUUUUUAUAUAUCCUUAUUGGCACCUCUUUCAAGAAAAAAGAUAAUGUAGUCCAUAAUGUAUGCAUUAAGUUGUGUUUAUUUGCUAGAGUAAAAGUGAGGAGAGUAGAUUCAUUCUAAUUUAACAUUUAUUUGCCCAUUUAAAGAGGAGAGUAAGUGUCUCACUCUGUGUGUCUCUCUCAUUUUUUUGAAUGAAGAGUGAGAUUCCCAUUGUUAGGAGAUGAGAAUGAGAAUCUACUUUUACUUUUUUUUUUUUACUCUUCCCUUAUUAAGUAUAAUAUAAUUAUACUUAUUAAAAUAAAAUAAUAUUAUAUUUAUUUAAAAAUAAUAAUAUUAAUAAACUUAUUUAAAUAUAAUAUUAGUAUAUUCAUUGAGAAUUAAUAAUAUUACUGCUGUACGGCCAAGGCGGAUAUACGGUACAGCAGAUUUCUUUUAAAAUUUUUCUAACAGUUGGAUCUCUAAUAAAUUAAUUUCCACAAACCACAGUAUCCUAUAUCUUACUCUAUUCACACCCCCCCCCCCCUAAAUAACAUCAUCAGUUAAUUUAUAUAUAUGUCAAUAGUUUUUAAUUUACUUAUUUAAAAUUAUAAUAAAAUUAAUAAAAAAGUUAUGAUUUACAUAAUUAAAAAUAUUAAUAACUAUUAUUAAUGAAAUAAAUAGUUAUUUUAAAAAUAUUUUUUUAUUCAUUUUGCAAUUAAAACUACAACUCUAUAAAUGAGGGUAAAAUUAUCAUGUAAAUUAAUUCACUCUUAAUUCAAGACAAAGUAAACACAUAAAUGAAAUUUUGAUUAUAAAUUGGAUUCUAAUUCUUAUUUCACACCCGCAAUAUAGGUAAAUAACCUAUUUUUACUCCUACUUCACAUCUCCAUUCUAGGAUUUCAACUCCCUAAGAUUCACACUUCAAUUUGGGAAGUAGACGCUGCUUAAAUGUCAAUGUCAUAAGUCUAUCGAACUGAUAUAUAAAUUCCUCAUCAAAUAACUUCAACGAUUCUUUACAAAUCAUUUUAGGAAAUUACUACUGAUCACUAGCUUUUGAUUCCAUCUCCUUCUAAAUUGCUAAGACAAAUUUGUUUCCACCUUUAAAUAGUUAGUAACCACUGUGCAUAUUUAUCUAACCUUAAGGUUGCUACUGCAUCCAACCAGAUAUUGUUACCCACCACCAUAGUUUUCUUACACCCACAUUUACCUUUUAACAACCUACUUGACCGGUAUGCAUAUAUCUAACGUGGCCAUCUUGAAAGACGUUGGAUCGCUUUGGAUUUUAAAGCAACAGUUAGUUGGAAUAACGAAAGAAUUUGAGGUACCUUACCAUAGUUGCAACAUAGGCGAGUCCGAUUGUAAUUAUUGUGAAUAUAGUCCUUUCUUUUACAACGCGUUAAAUAUGUUUAUAUAUUUUGUAAAAAGUCAAGCAAUGAGAUGAAGGGAACGAUUAUUGUUUUCACCAUAUCAGGUAUCUCAAAUAUUUUUCAUGUUCUGUGUGCCUUCUAGAGGUGCACGGUGAUGGGUGAAAAGAGGAAAAUGAAAAAACAUAAAAACAAAAUUAUAAGUUCCUUUAAUGAGGGGUCGUUUUGGUUCGAUAUGUGUUGGAAAUUUUUUUUGGGUGCCAACUGUCGCUAUCUCCGACUUCAAAAAUUGUCUUGUAAUAUUAAUAUAGGCCCCAAGCCCCCAACCACUUUGCCUCUGUGAUUAAGAACCUCAUUCUUUGCCUUUUAGCUAACCCACCGCUGCUGUAAAAGUCAAUGAUUUUGUUUAUUUUUUUGUGUCAACUGAAUUGAAAGCUUUGUCCACUUUUAGCAAAGUCCCAUAAUGGGUUCAACUACGUUACGGCAGUGGCACGUAUCAUUUCUUUUUGUCUUCUGUGACAAGUUUUCAUAUAACCUCUUCUACUCAUUUUUAUUUAAUAUUUAUUCUAUAAGUAUUAAGUUAAUUUCUAUCUACACUUACAGCUACAUUUCGGUCAGCUCUUUAUACUAUUUUAUAUUUAUAGAUUUUUUGUUCAAUGUUGCACAUGUAUCACAAUGCCCCCUCUUUAUUAUUUUGAAGUUAAAUCAUUGACAUGUUUAAUUUAAAACCUUACACUCCUUUUUAAUUAUAAUUUUUUUUAAUUAUUAGGGUAGUUUUUUACAUUUGCUAUCACUUAUAUACUCUUUUUAUUUUGAAUUUUUUUUAUAGAUAUUAUGAUACUUUUUUCUUGUAUUCAUAACAAAUUAUAUAAUCCCAAUAGUUCUAUUACAAAAGUAUUAUAUUUUUUCACACUCUUAUUUUUAUUAUGUUAUUUAAUUCAAUUAUUUUUAUAUUAUGGGUGCAUUUAUAAUUGUUUUUUGCUAUAUUCGACCUCUAGACUCGUGAUUUUGUUAGUAAUCACCUGCUGUUUACUGUUAUAUUUUCAAUUAGACCAAUAAUAUUUUCUAGGUUUUGUAUGGUUUAUUAUGUAGUUUUUCAUAUAAUCAUAUACUUGUUUUACCUUGGUCUGGAUUUGGAGAUUUUGCAAUAUUUAUGGACACAUGGCGCAUUGUAAGUGGCUAUAGAUUUUAGAACUUACAAGAUAUAUUAACUAAUAUUAUUUAAAUUUAUUAAUAAAAGAAACUUAAGUAAUUAGUAGAUAUAAUUAUUAUUAUUAGAAAAUUUUAAUUUAUUAUAAUUUAAUUUGAUCAUCAACUACUAACCGUAUUAUGCAAACAAUGGGGCAAAUCUUAGUGUUAGCAUUAUUAUAAUUAUUACUGUUAACUACAAUUUUAUGUGAACUUGAGUAGCUAGAAAAUAUAAAUAAGAAUUAGUUUGUAUUUCUCCUUUCUUUUGAUUGGUGAUUUAUUUCUACUUUCUCACUAGUAAUAUGCCAGAUAGAAGAAUAAUUAAGAAUUGCAGAUUCACAAGGGUUGGAAUUAGCAUUGAUUUUGUAAUGAAUUUUUAUGAUUAAUUUGAUUGUCUAUAUAUAAAGCAUAGACAUGCGGUUGCAUAGUUAUAGUGGUUUAUUUAAGCAAGGAAAAAUUAAUAGGCCAGUGGAUUUGGUAUUAAUUGGUUGAAGUAUGUAUGUAUACAUAUCCCAUCUUUUCAAUGUCACCACUACCUGUUUUUUCUCCUUUAAUUUGACAUUAUAUUAUUAAUUUUUUUUUUAACUAUCUAUGAAGGAUAAGAAAUUUUACUAAAUUAUAGUUCAAUAUAGCCUAAUGAGAAAAAAAAUAAGGCAAUACAACCUAAUACAACAAAUAAUGACGAACUAAAUGCACCCAUAAGAUAAGAAUACUUAAAUUAAAUAAAAUGAUAAAAACAACAGUACAAAAGAAAUUACAAUAUUUUUUGUAAUAGAACUAUUAGGAUUACAUAAUUUGCUAUGCAUGUAAGUAAAAAGUACUAUAAUAUUUAUUAAAAAAAAAUUGUAAUAUAAAGAGUGUAAAGUAUUAAAUGAAAUUUGAGAGUAGAUUUAAAAAAAUCCUAAUACUUAAAAAAAAUGUUUAAGGUUCUAAAGUAAACAUGUCAAUUAUUUAAUUUCAAAAUAGUAAAGAAGGGGUAUUGUGAUACAAGUAUAAUAUAGAAUAAAAAUUCAUAAAUAUUAAAUAUGUAAGGUGCUAAUUGAAAUGUGUAUGUGAAUGUAGGUAGAAAUUAACUUCAUAUUUAUGAAUCAAAGUUUAAAUACAAAUGUGUGGAAGGGGUUAUACGAAAAUUUAUAAUGUACCGCCACAAAAGACAAAAAUAAAUGGUAUGGUACUACUAAUGCAACAUAGCUGAACCCUAAUUUUAAAAAAAAGUAUUAAAAAUUGUGACUAAUUUUAGUUUACACCAGCUGGAAUUUGUAGAAGCAAAUGCCAAUCAUGCCUGGUGUGCAAUUAAUAAUGUGGGCGAAGACAAUUUGGGAGCUUGGAACUCUCCAAACUCCAAUGAGAUAAUAAAAUACGUUAGUUAAUAAAACUAACUAGCAAGUAGCAAGCACACAUUAUCAUUUUAUUUUGUAUAUGAAAAUUUGACACUCUUUAACAUUGUGUUUUUUCGUUUAUGUUUAUUAUGAGCUCGACUUUUUGUUCAUGAAAAUUUGACAUUCUUUAACUUUGGCGGGUUGGUAAGUGUAUAACGAGCUACACUUAUUUAUUUAUUUGGAAAAAAGACACAUAUUUACAUUUGAGAAAAUAAUCAUAAAGACAUCUAAAUUUUUAAAAAGGGACUCCAAAUCUCCUUUUUAAUUAUAAUAUCCUUUGGUUUAUAAUUGAAAAGUUGACUUUAAAAUUUUUUAAUUAAUACAAAUUUAAUAUAUGUAAUAUAAUCUAUCUAGUAGACUAAUAAUAUUAAAUUAUUUUUAACAUUUAAUAUAAUAUUAAAAAUUUAAAUUAUUACAUUUAUUUUAAUAAUACAUUUUUAUUUAUUAUAAAGAUUUAAAAAAUCUCUGUAUUAAAUAUAUUUUGCAAUUAACAGAAUAUAUCCAUGUUAAUAAUAAUAAUAUUAUUAUUUUUUCAUAAUAUUCGAAAUAAUUUUAAUCUUUUAUUCUAAUAUUAUGUUUCUAUCUAUUAUUAAAAAUUACUUUAAUUAUAAUAUAAUUGGUCUAAUAUAUUGUAAAAUAUUAAAAUUAUUUUAAAAUGUCGAUAUUAUUACAUUUAUUUUAAUGCCACAUUUCUAUUUAUUAUAAAAUUUUAAGGUCAAUUAUUUUGGGUUUAUAAAGUCAAAGGGUAUUAUUAUAAAAAAAAAGCCUUGAUGUCCCUUAUUAAAAACUUGAGGUUCUUGUAAUCAUUUUCCAAAACUAUGGAGGUGUAUGUGUCCUUUGUUGUAUUUAUUUUUAUGAAAAUUAAAGUUUUUUUUUAAAAAAAAGAAUCCAAUGAAUUCAAUCUUCAAAGAGUGUGAGAAUCAAAAGCUUAUUCUACGGUUAUUGCUAAAUAUGAUAGAAGAUAAUUGACGUAGUUGUUAUCUAGUACUAUGUCAAUCCCAGAUUGAAUUUGGUUUAAUAUUCUCCAAGAGUGAUAGUGUAUGCAAAUGUUUCAUUUUAAAUUUUCUUUAUUUAAUCUAAUGGCAAAUAAAAUUUUCUCCCAUCCGUAUUAACAGAUUCGAACAAAUAUUUUGUUUUUAGUUCAAGAAAUUUUACCAAUUAUAUAUGUUAGUAAUUAAUAUAAGAAGAAUUACUAAUUUACAAGUUGUGUUAAGUUUUUGGACUGAGAAAACUAAGGUAGUAUUUGUUCUUUUAUCUAAAAUCUGGAUGGAUUUGAAUAUAAUUGAAGUCUGAAUGGAUCUGAAUUCAUGUGUAAGAAUAAUAUGCUUGUUUUUUUUAUUUUUUGACAUCAAAUGUAGCAGUAAGUUAUUUAUUUUUAUAAACUCAAAAUAUCUUAAAUAUAAUAUUUUUAUACUUAUGAUCUUGAAAGUGUUAUGUAUACUUGAAAUUUUUAAUAGGUAUAUAUAUACAGUGUUUUCUUAACUAAAUAAGUUCAUGCAAUUGAUUGUUGUUAUUAUCGAAUAAUCAUUUUUAGGUUGCCUUUAUUAGUUUAACACAAUGCUACUUUGUCAAAAAAAAAAAGUUACCAUUAUUAUUAAUAGGUCGGCGGCGAUCAUUUUUUUGUUUUUUAGCUCACUGAUAAUUGACAUGGAAUAAGAUGUUUUAGAUAUAUACGAUAUAUUUUACAUAAUCACACGUACUCGUACCUUUUAAAAUACUUAUCAUAAUGUCAAAUAUUUUUAUAUUAUUAUGAAUUGUUGAAAAAUUAUUUUAGAACAAUAUAAAAAUAUCUGUAUACAUGGUAGUCAAACAACAAUUUGAGCAUUGCUAUUAUUUUCCGAAAAUAUAGCUAAGUUUUCUGAAUGAAUAGUGUCCCUUGGAUUCGGUUGGAUUUGAUGCCGUACGACAGAAUUGCUGUGGCCGGAGGGUAAUGUAGUCGCACUGGGCAAACAAUAAUUGACAUUUCACAUUCGGCUAUUUAUGAUGUAGGCCCAACUAUAUGUGUCCAACUUUGGAGGCUGGUAGGUAUAUGAUAUAUCCAAUUAAUAAGCUCCGCUUAUUUAUUUAUUUUUAUAAAAAUUCAAAUUUUUUUCCCCUAAAAAUAUCCGAUGGAUUCAUUCUUCGAGGAGUGUGCUAAAUAUACAAGGGAGCUUGCUAACUUACAGAUUCUGUAAGUUACAGCUCACUCACAAAUUUGAUUGUGGUUCCCACUCGGGCCCACAGCCAAUACUAUUUAACACUAUUCAUGUGAGGGUUGUUACUUACAGAAUCUGUAAGUUAGCCCUUUCCAUAUACAAGAUGAUAGUUGGUAGUUAUUGUCUAGUAAUAGAUCCCAGAUUGAAUUUGAUUUAAAAUCCAGGAGCAUCGCUCCCGCAAAUGUUUCAUUUUAAAUUUUCUUUGUUUAAUCCAAUGGCAAAUAAAUUUUUCUCCCAUCCGUAUUAACGGUUCGAACAAAUAAUUUUAUUUUCAGUUCAAGAAAUUUUAUCAAUUAUGUUAAUAAUUAGUACUCACAUAAUUAUUGUUGGGAAGUUUAUGGAUAAAACAAAUAUGUAACUAAAGUGAAAUUGAGAAAUAAUGAAACACAAAAUCACACAGGUACAUCAUAAAUGACGUGAUUCUGCUUUUAGUCUACGUUCACGGGCGAAAAUAGAUGAAAAAUAUUUUACUAAUGAAAAUGAGUUAUAAAUAUUGUAAUAUUUUAGCUCAUUUCCCAAAACUUCAAUACGCCCAAACUCUCAAAUAAUUAAACUCUUCUCAAAAUGAAUUUGAAGAGGAAGAGAAAAACUUGAUGCUGAGGACAGAAAUAAAGCCCUCUAUUUAUAGCUUCAUUUUGUGCCCUUUUUCAAUUAAAAUAAUUAUUAUAUUAUUAUAUUAUUUUUUUCUUCGCCCUGAACACUGCGGCACCUCUUUUUCUUCCUUUCUUUUUUUUUUUCUUUUGUUCCAGUCAAAGAAGAAAGCCACUCCUUCUUCAAAAUGGGCGGGCUCGACUUCUAGAAGGGUGGUGCCCGCAUGCCAUUUUUGUCAUUCUCCCACUUGGAGAUUUGAUUGCGAGACAAUCAUAUCUCCACACUAUCAUUUUUGUUUCGCCAUUGUCAUUGCUUACGUCUCUGCUAGGCCACAAGAUGACCUACUCUAGAUAAACUUGUUUGUAUUGAUCGACUUGAUCAAAACAUCUGUCAGGUUCUCCUUAGUAUGGAUUUUCUGCAAAUCCACACUUUCAUCUUCCACUAUUUCACGAAAGAAAUGAUAUUGUACCCCUAUGUGCUUUGUCUUGGAAUGAAAGAUUGGAUUCCUUGCAAUAUGCAAGGCACUUUGACUGUCACAAAACACAGAAAUUUUCUGUUGUUUGUGCCCGAGCUCCUUCAAUAAAUUUUGUAUCCAAAUAGCUUCCUUACAAGCUUGUGUAGCUGCCAUGUACUCUGCUUCUGUUGUAGAUAGAGCCACAACGGUCUGCAGUUUCAAAACCUAGCUUACAACUCCUUCUGCAAGUGUAAACAUAUAGCCAGUAGUUGAUUUUCUUUUAUCAAGAUCUUCUGCAAAAUCUUAAUCUACAUAGCCCCUAAUAGUAAACUCUGAUCUUCCAUAACAUAAUACAACAUCUGAGGUUCCUCUAAUAUAUCUUAAAAUCCUCUUCACAACUAUCUAAUGCUCUUUACCAGGAUUCGCCAUGUAUCGACUGAUUGCUCCCACUGCUUGUGCAAUGUCUGGUCUAGUAUAUAUUAUAGCGAACAUCAAACUUCCCACUGCUGAUGCAUAUGGUACUCGAAACACUUCCUUCCUCUCUGUUUCGUUGCUAGGACACAUACUUGAGGAAAAUUUGAAAUUAAUAGGAAGUGGGGUAGAAAUUGACUCACAAUCUUGCAUGUUGAAGCGUCGUAAGAUUUUCUUCAAGUAAUUCUUUUGAGAAAGCCAAAUCUUCUUGUUAUUUCUGUCUUGGUGAAUUUGCAUCCCUAGAAUCUUAUUUUUUGGUCCCAAGUCCUUCAUUUCAAACUCCCUAGCCAAUUGUGCCUUCAAUUCUUGGAUUCGAUCUUUGUUGGGGCCUGCAACCAGCAUGCCAUCCACGUACAACAACAAAAUAAUGAAAUCAUUAUUUUCAAAUCACCUGUAACAUGUACAAUGGCCUGAACUGAGUCUGUUGUAUCCAAGGCUCAUGAUGAAGGAAUCAAAUCUCUUAUACCAACAGCUCGGUGCCUGUUUGAGACCGUAUAGAGAUUUGUUCAACCUGCAAACCAAGUUCUCUUUUCGUUUUUCAGCAAAACCUUCUGGUUGGAGCAUAUAAAUUUCUUCUUCAAGUUUUCCAUGAAGAAACACAGUUUUCACAUUGAACUACUCUAGAUGUAGGUCAAAUGUAGCACACAUCGCCAAGACUACUAUGAUUGUUGUAAGUUGAACCACCGAGAAAAAUAUCUCGUUGAAGUCAAUACAUUCUCUCUAAGCAUAUCCUUUCACUACUAAUCUUGCACGAUAUCGCUCCACUUAGUCAUUGCCAUCACACUUGAUCUUGUAGACCCAUUUGUUUCUAAUGACUUUUCUUCCACGUGGUUGUGGUACAAGUUCCCAUGUCUUAUUCUUGUGUAGAGCUUCAAUUUCUUCAUGCAUUGCUGCCAUCCACAAAGUAACAUCUGAGCUGUUUAAAGUUUCAUGGAAAGUUGAUGGCUCUCCAUCCACUAUUAAAAGACAAUAUGCAACAUUGAUCUAUGUGACAUAACCUGAGUGCCACACUGGCGGUCGUCUCUCACAAGUUAAUCGACAAACUUCUAGAGCCUCGGACUCGAUUGGUUCUUGUUCCUCAUGCUCUGGUGCUGCUUCAGAAGAAUCUGAAUCUUCUGGAUUAUUUUCCACAUAUAUCGGCACAGUCUCUGACUUUUCUUUUACAGUGUUAUCAUCCAUAUCUCUCAUUUGCAGUUAAUCUUUUUCAAAAAUAACAUCUCUACUGAUGACGAUCUUGUGAGCAGUGGAGUCCCACAGACGAUAACCCUUUACUCCAUCAGCAUAUCCCAAGAAUAUGCAUCUUCUAGAUUUUGGAUCCAGCUUUACUCUUUCUUGUGCAUUGUACAUCACGUACAGGACAUCCGAAUGCAUGUAGGUGCGAGUAAUCUGCUGGCUUUCCAGUCCACAUCUCCAUCAGAAUCUUCAACCCAAUUAUCGUGGAUAGCGACCGAUUUACUACAUAAUAGGCAGUUUUGGUUGCUUUUGCCCAGAAUGAAUUAGGUAGACCCACAGUUCUCAACAUAGAUCUUAUUUUUUUUUGUAAGAUUUCUGUUCAUCUGCUUCGUCACUCCAUUUUGUUGAUGAAUGUAUGCCACCGUGAACUACCUCUGAAUACUUUCUUACUUAUAGAAAGUAAGAAACUCACCGUCUGUAUAUUCUCCACCAUUAUCUGUCCUCAAGCACUUUAUCAUCUUCCAAGAUUCAAGUUCUACAUAUGCUUUGUACUGUUUGAACACUGGAAACACAUAUGAUUUUUUUCUUAAUUGGAUACGCCCAACAUCUCCUGGAAUUAUCAUCAAUAAAAAUCACCAAGUACUUUGGACCUCCCAUGGACAUAUCUAGUGAUUCCCAAACAUCAGAAUGAACAAAGUCUAGAAUGCAUUUACUUCUGGCUUCAGAUCUUAUGAAUUUCAAUCUAUACUACUUACUUGUAACACAUUGCUCGGGAAACGGUAAGUUCACCGACUUGAGCUCCGAAAGAAAUUUUUACUCAGAGAGAAUCUUCUAACCUUACUUUGACAUAUGGCCGAGUUUGAGAUGCCACAUCAUCGUUGAUUCUUCUCCAUUCGACGCGACACACGCAUAAGCUUCCUGUGGUGUUUUUUUUUAAAGCAUGAAUAGAUUAGCAACGAUCUUUUCCGCCCUCAUCAAUACAAGCGCGCCUCUUGUAAUCUUCAUGAUCCUAUUUUCAAUAUGGGUUUUGCACCUAUGACUAUCUAUUUGUCCCAAAGACAAUAGAUUAUUCUUCAGGCCUUUGACAUGUCGUACCUCCCCAAUUGUGCUAAUUGUGCCAUCAAACAUUUUUAUUUUAAUAGUACCAAUACCAGUGAUCUCCAAGGCAUGAUCAUCUCCCAUAUAUACAGAUCCUCUUGAGAUAUGUUCAUAUGUGUGGAACCAUUCUCUCCGAGAGGUCAUGUGCCAGGUAGCUCCUGAGUCUAUGACCCAAAUAUCAGAUAACUGUUUUCUACCUUUUGAAACAGUUGUUGCCUCGCCGUAGAGAACUUCGUCAUCAUCCGAGGUACUUGCUACACACCCCUAAGCAUUAGGUUCUUUACCCUUUCUUCUCUUCUGGUUGUUCCAACAUUCCUCUUGACAUGCCAUUUCUUGCCACAAUUAUAGCAUUUAAUAUUCUUCUUACUUCUAGAUUUGGAUUUACCAUGAUUGUGACUCCUACUGGGGCCAUGUGCCGUUGAUCUCCCUCUCGUCACCGAUAGCGCUUCUGCUUAUUGCGAACUUACUUGUUUAUCUUCCUUACUUUUCUACCUGCUCUCCUUAUUUAAUACGGAGGCUGCAACAUCGUCGAAAACUAAACUGUUUGCUGGAUUAUUAUUUGUCAGGUUAAUGAUGAGUUGAUCAUAUGAAUCUGGUAGACUUUGAAGUAAAAGCUCUAAACGUUCAUUUUCCUCUAUUUUAUGACCCAACGUUGUGAGUUGGGAAAAUAGAGUCUUCAAAGUAUUGAUAUGGUCGGCCACCAAUGUAGAUUCCGCCAUUCGAAAAAAUAUAGAGUCUCAUUUUUUAAGAAAAUCUUAUUGUGCGGUGAUAACUCUAUGAAAUGAGAGUUAUUACAUCAAUUCUAAACUUGAAUCAAGAUCACUUAGAGAGCAAAUAAGGCGUUUUUAUUACAUUUUGGUUAUAUUUUGCAUAAACAUUCAUUUUAGUUGAGUCUUAAUAAGUUUUGCUUGAAUCAAAGUAAUUUGUGCUCAAAACAGGUGUAUAAUUAUAGAUUUUUAGAAAUCCUUAAUUCAUAAAUGAAUGCUGAGACAUUAGACUAGCAAGAGGAGGAAAGAAGAUGGCCACAAAAGAAGUAAAGAACAAUCGAGAACAAUGCAGUGUUGUAGCUGUUGUUAGAGCAACUAGUGCUGUGGUAAUCUGGGAGCAUUGAGGGAGAAAACUUAAGCGCGGGUAAGCUGCAGAAUUGCGAUCUGCAUGUUUUCUAAUUUAACUCAUGCAUGCUAGGGGUGGGUAAAAUAACCGAUCCGACCCGAUCCGAUCCGAAAUAAAUCGGGUUCAGAUCGGAUCGGAUUGACCAUAAUACCCGAUCGGAUGAAAUGUUGCCAACCUGAUCGGAUCAUAAUCGGAUCGGGUGAAAUCCGAUCCGAUCCAACAACCCGAACGGGUUGGCUUAAAGAAGAAAGUAAACAACCCUCACUGAUUACAACACACAUGCAUCCAGCAACAAGUAGUCAAGCACCAGUGAUGCCACAGAGCACAGGGCAACAGACCACACGCUACACAGCCUCACACACCACACACGUAUACGGCACACAUCACAGAUAUGGAGGCACAAAACCAGUAAAGAUAGAGGCACAAAAACAGUAGACCACACAUUCAACGCACCCAGCCGCACCCAGCAGCCUCACUCCCCUCCCUCACGCCUCACGGCCUCCCCCUCAAGCCUCAACGAGAGACCACACAGCACACACCAACCUUUGCUCCCCUCCCUCACGCCUCAUGGGUCAUUGCCCCACCCUCAAGUCAACACUCAACACCGCCAACGCCAAGUAGAAACACACACACACACACACACACAGCUGCAACCAACACAUGCUUGUCACAAUCACCGCUGACGCCAACCACCAGUCGAUCUACUGCUCAGCGAGGACCGCGACCAGAUAUGCUGCUCCGCGAGGACCGCGACCAGAUAUGCUGCUCCGCGAGGACCGCGACCAGAUCUGCUGUUACCGCCUACCGAUCUGCUGUCUCCGCGCCUCCACACACUUCAUUACCAAGUUUCUUCUCCAAGUUCCAUUCGUAAUCCAGCAAGCGGCAGCCUGAAUUUUUAUUUUGAGUUUGGAUUUUUGAGUUUAGUUCAAAUACGGACAGUUGUAAUGUGUAAUAUAUUAUAUAACAUAUGUUAAAUCAUUGAUUAGGAAUUGUUAACCGAACCCGAUCCGAACCGAAUUAAACCCAAUUUUUUUAUCCGAUCCGAUUCUAUUCGGAUCGGAUCAGGUCGGGUUGUCAAUUUGGGUUGAAUUCAUAUGAGUUUUUGUUCGACCCGAUCAACCCGAAAUCCGAUCGGGUUGAUCCGAACUCGAUUUUGCCCAGCCCUAAUGCAUGCCACAGACUUUUAUUUACCCUAGUUUGCAGUAUAAAAGGAGGGCGCGCACUACAUAAAAGACGGCAAUGAAUUAACAUUGGAGAAAUCGAGAGAAAAAGAAGAAAACAAUCAGAAUUCAAGAGAACCGAGUCUGCAUCAGUGAAGAAUCCAGCAGAGUUAUUUGGAUUCAAUCUUCAUCGUUCUCUACUUAUUCUUUUCUUUACUCUUUGAUUGAACCGAUGUCUUUCGUGACCAAUAUUUUGCUGUUUGUUUUUCUCAUUUAGAAUAUGAACUAGAUUUGCUUGUAGUUGAGUGACAAACAAUCUAAUGGGUUCUUGACUAUUCUUAUGUGUUGUUAUGUCAUUGUUGUAGCAUUUUAUUCUAGUAGUUAUUAUUAAUAUAACUGUUAUUUCGGUUGACCACCCAUUUAAUAGUUCAAGUUAAGAUAGAGCCGCAAAAGGGCAUGUCUUAGGGGAUAUUAUUAGAGUAUUACUUGAUUUUAAUUUAAGUUUCCUGGAUUAAGUUAUCUUGAAUCCCAUAAGGGCUAUACAUGAAGUUAAGAUUUGUGACACACUAGACAUAGGUGCUCACCUUGUAGGGUGGAGAGACUAAAGGGUCAUAAGGUCAUAUCAUAAGUAGAUUAGUAACUGGUCAUUGUUAAUAUAUUUAAGGGUGUGAGAGUUCCAAUACGCGACAGCUGAGGAUGCAGAUUAAUUAUGCCCAGUGCUGCAGCACUUGCCGUAACAAUUGGUGUUAACUUGAUGAAAAACAGUCAGCCUAUAAGGAGAGUUUGAUCAUUCAACUACCAUAGUCUCAAUUGAAUCUUAGACACAUUUUAUCUAAUAUUUUAUUACGGUAUUGUUUUAUUUAAUUCUCUCAUAAUCAUCAAUCAUGAUAAAACUUAAUUUACGAUUGUUAACUUCGGCCUUAAGUUGGUUUGAUUACUAACAUGCGGCGAUGUGGCCUUGUACAAUUUUGUAAGAGUAUCUCAUAUUUCUUUUGCCGUCUUUUUCUCCUACACACUGGAUAACACCCCAUCUGCAAGUGCCAGGUGUAGAUCAGCAAUGGCAUUGCCGUCCAUCUCAUUCCACUUGUCAUCCUCAGUUAUCUCUAUGAGUCUUUCUCUAAUUAUUGCCAAGCAAUUAUUUUUCCUCAAAAUUGCCUGCAUUUUCAUUUUCCAUAAGGAGAAAUUAUUCUCAUCGAACUUUUCAAUUUUAUAUUUACUGCCAUUUUCUUACUAAAUACAGCACACAAGCUAGUGUACCACCCUGAAUAGUUAUGAGUAUGUGUGAAAAUGCACACCAGAAAAGUUCUCAAGAAAGACUGGAGUGGUCACAAUGGUCCCACUUAAAACCCAUACUCCUUAGACUCUUAUCGCCUUUGUGACAAAACUUUUCUAGACUUGUACAAAACCAUACAGUUGCUCUACUUACACCACUAUUCCUUGUUUUGCACUGCCAAAAUUAUUGGAUCGCUUCCAUCGUUUCUCAUUAAUAGUAUCAUAUAUAUAAAUAGUACCAUAUACAUGAAUAGCACCGUAUACGUGAACAAUACCCUUUACGUGAACAGUACCCCGACUCUAAAAAAUACAACCAAUAGCUCUGAAACCACUGUUGGGAAGUUUAUGGGUGAAGCAAAUACGCAACUAAAGUGAAAUUGAGAAAUAAUGAAACACAAAAUCGCACAAGGAUACCAGAAAUUACGUAGUUCGGCUUUUAAUCUACGUCAACGGGCGAAGACAGAAGGAAAAUAUUUUACUAGUGAAAAGGAGUUACAAGUACUGUAGUAUUUUAGAUCAUUUCUCAAAACCCUAAUACACCCAAACCUAAAAUCACUAAACUCUUUUCAAAAUGGAUAUGAAGAGGAAGAGAAAAACUUGAUGUUUAGGACGGAAAAGAAGCCCUCUAUUUAUAACUUCAUUUCUUAUCCUCUUUUCAAUUAAAAUAAUUAUAUUAUUAUUAUAUUUUUUUUCUUCGCCCUGAGCGGUGCGACACCUCUUUUUUUUCCUUUCCAUUUUUUUUUCUUUUAUUCCAAGAAGCAACGCCUCCUUCCUCAAAAUGGACGGGCCCACCUUCUAGAAUGGUCGUGCCCGCAUGCCAUUUUUUGUCAAUUAUUUGAUUUUUUUUAUUUCUUCGGUUCUUAUCGGUUGAACUAAUUUACAUGAUGAGUAGUGCAAUGUGUCCAUAUAUUACAUAUGAGUGGUAAUUUAUCACAAAUACAGUGACAUUUCAUCCAGGAGUGGCUGUCCUUGUUGAUAAAUUGAAAUUAGCGCAAACCUUGAGGACAGACAUGAAAAAAUGAGAACACGAGCAUGAUUGGUGAUGAGAUAUAAUAUAGCUGAACCCCUGCCUUGACUGAUUCAAUACAAAGGGAGGAAAAAAGAAGGAAAACAGGAGCAACCAAUUAAGAAAGAAGCAAAUUUAUAAUCAUGGCUUCUACAGCAGAUCAUGAAGAAGAGACAAAUAAUUUUUCAUAUGCAAUGGAACUGGCAAGUGCCAUAGUGCUACCUGCAGCUAUGCAAGCAGCGGUAGAGCUUGAUGUGUUUGAGAUCAUAAGCAAAGCUGGUCCCGGUGCUAAGCUUUUGGUUUCGGAAAUUGUGGCUCAAAUUCCCUUAAAAGGUAAUAAUCCUGAAACUGCAGCCAUGACGUUGGAGCGGGUGCUGAGGCUGCUUGUCAGCUACAAUGCUCUUCAUUGCUCUUUUGUUGAUGGACAAAGGCUCUACUCUCUUGCUCCUGUUUCUGCAUACUUCGUUCGCAAUAAUCAAAACGGCGCGUCGUUGCGUCCCUACAUGGCCUGGUGUCUUGACAAGGUCCUCAUGGAUGGCUGGUAUAUAGAAUUACUUUUUCUCUUUUCUUUUCUUUGCUAAUUUUAGUAAAUUAAGGAAAAUUAUCAAAACCUUCUAGUUGUAUAUAUCCAAAAAUUAAUCAUUUGUAUCACAUGUUUUGAACCCAUCAAAAUCCGUCAGCUGCUAAAAAGACAGCUAUCUUCAAUUAUUUUAUUUUGUUGUGGUAAAAAACAAAAAAAAAAGCUUAAAGUCCAAGCGUUUUUGAAAUAUGAAAGUAGAAAGGAUUGAUUGUAACAAACAAUUAAUAAAGUAUUCUUUAUCUUGGUUAAUUAUGCGGUCUAAUUUUACAAACUAAGCUUCUAAAAUUGUUACUAACUGUGUUUGGAUUUUGGAAAAUUCAGGUUUCGGUUGAAAGAGCAAAUUCUUGAAGGAGGAAUGGCGUUUAAUAAAGUGCACGGAAUGGAUAUGUACGAUUACAUGGGCGUUGACUCAAGAUUCAAUGAUGUUUUCAACAAUGGAAUGUCAAGCCACACUUCUGUCGUCAUGGAGAAGGUCCUAGAAUCAUACAAAGGCUUUGAGCAUGUUAAGAAGCUUGUCGAUGUUGGUGGCGGCUUAGGAGCUACUCUUAACAUUAUAAUUUCCAAAUACUCUCAUAUUAAGGGUAUUAAUUAUGAUUUACCUUAUGUUAUUAAAAAUGCCCCAUCUUACCCUGGUAUGUUACUUACAAAAUUUAUAUACUAUUUUUGUUAAUGAUUCAUUGAUGGGAUACACAAUAGCUAACAAAAAUUAUUAUUAUUAUUAUUAUUUUAAUUUCAGGCAUUGAACAUGUAGGUGGAGAUGUUAAAGUAUGAGCUUUAAACUGAAUUCCAGAAGAUCAACCGUCAUGUCAGUCUGUGGUAAUGUUGAUAUACGACAUGUCAGCUAUAAAGGAUACAAGCCUGUAUGACAAACUUUGGUCGUCAGCCAAAGCUUUAAGUGAAGCACGUAAAUGUCACGUGAUUCCACUUACUCUGAACGGCAUGAAAGAAUGUCGUUUUGGGGCUUGCUGUUUGUAAGGGUUUCAACACGUGUCCUGGAAGCUGUUAAAAUCAGUUAUUGCAGGCGGGAGAAUUCUGGGUUUGUAAGCUAACAAACCCAGAUUACAGCUGGUUGACAGGGGGUCUUUGUAACGGGCUCUAAGCUAGUAUAAAUAGUCUAAGGGACUGGGAAAUCAGAGAGGGUGUUGUUUGUAACUUCGUCUCUAAACUUGUAACUUGUUCUUGGUUAUUGAAUAAAAGCUGUUGCUCUGUUCUUCAGUGGAUGUAGGCUGCCUCCAGCCGAACCACUUAUAUUUGUUGUUCUUUGCAUAUUGUUUCUGGGUGAUUUAGAUGUGUGAAAUUGGUUUAACCUUUCUUGAAACAUUGAUUAGAGAGUUCAGCUAGAUCCUGGAGAUUCUUGAUUGGAUAAUAAUUCUGGUCUAGGUUCAACAAAUUGGUAUCAGAGCCUUAUCUCUGAUCUUUGAUCCAAGAAAUGGGAACCUCUAAAUUUGAGGUAGAAAAAUUCACUGGAGAAAACGACUUCCAUCUAUGGCGGCUCAAGAUGAGAGCUCUGUUGGUUCAUCAGGGGCUGGAGGAGACUUUGGGUGAUCCAAGAUCUGAAAAGAAACCCAGCAAGCUUUCUGAUGAUGAAAUGCGAGAUGCUUUGGAUAAAGCUCAUAGCACACUAAUCUUGAGUCUGGGAGAUGGAGUUCUCAGGGAAGUGGGAGAUCAAACAACUGCUGCAGGCCUCUGGAUAAAACUUGAAGACCUAUAUACCAAGAAGUCUCUAACCAAAAGACUUUGUACCAAAAAGAGGCUGUAUACUUUGCAAAUGGAGGAAGGAAGCUCUCUGGCAACUCACAUUGAUAGCUUUAACAGGAUCAUCCUGGAUCUUGAAGAUAUCAAUGUGAGUCUUGAGGAUGAAGACAAGGCAAUAAUCUUGUUAGCAUCUCUCCCACCAUCCUAUGAACACUUUGUAGAUACACUGCUCUAUGGAAGGCAGUCAAUAUCAAUGGCUGAUGUAAAGGACUCUCUUAGUUCUAAAGAAGUCACAAAGAAGACAGAAACAAGAGCUGGGGAAGGUCUGAUGGCAAGAGGAAGACCUGAGAAGAAAGAAUACAACAAAGGGAAGAAAAGGGACAAGUCAAAGUCCAAGAAUAAAAACCUGAAAUGCUUUCAUUGCCAUAAAGAAGGGCAUUUCAAAAGGGACUGUCCAGAUAGAAAGAACAAGGAUAAAGAAGGGCAUGGAAAGAAUGGUGAUGCUGCUGUUGCAUCCGAGGAUGAGGGCUAUGACUCAGCUGGUGUCCUUUUGGCCUCUGAAACUCAGACAAACAGUAAGUGGAUUCUUGACUCUGGAUGUUCAUAUCACAUGUGCCCUGAUCAAAAUCUUUUUACUACUUAUAAUGCUUUUAAUGGAGGUGAGGUUCUGAUGGGGAAUAACACAAUGUGUAAGGUUGUUGGGUUAGGAACCAUUAGAUUUAAGAUGUUUGAUGGGAUNNNNNNNNNNNNNNNNNNNNNNNNNNNNNNNNNNNNNNNNNNNNNNNNNNNNNNNNNNNNNNNNNNNNNNNNNNNNNNNNNNNNNNNNNNNNNNNNNNNNNNNNNNNNNNNNNNNNNNNNNNNNNNNNNNNNNNNNNNNNNNNNNNNNNNNNNNNNNNNNNNNNNNNNNNNNNNNNNNNNNNNNNNNNNNNNNNNNNNNNNNNNNNNNNNNNNNNNNNNNNNNNNNNNNNNNNNNNNNNNNNNNNNNNNNNNNNNNNNNNNNNNNNNNNNNNNNNNNNNNNNNNNNNNNNNNNNNNNNNNNNNNNNNNNNNNNNNNNNNNNNNNNNNNNNNNNNNNNNNNNNNNNNNNNNNNNNNNNNNNNNNNNNNNNNNNNNNNNNNNNNNNNNNNNNNNNNNNNNNNNNNNNNNNNNNNNNNNNNNNNNNNNNNNNNNNNNNNNNNNNNNNNNNNNNNNNNNNNNNNNNNNNNNNNNNNNNNNNNNNNNNNNNNNNNNNNNNNNNNNNNNNNNNNNNNUGUUUUCUUAACUAAAUAAGUUCAUGCAAUUGAUUGUUAUUAUUAUUGAAUAACUGUUUUUAGGUUGCCUUUAUUAGUUUAACAACAAUGGUACUUCGUCAAGAGAAUGAGUUACCAUUAUUAUUAAUAGGUCGGCGGCGACCAUUUUUUUUUCAUUUUUAGCUCACUGAUAAUUGACAUGGAAUAACGAUGUUUUAGAUAUAUACGAUAUAUUUUAGAUAAUCACACGUAUUUGUAUAUUUUAAAAUACUUAUCAUAAUGUCAAAUAUUUUUAUAUUAUUAUGAAUUGUUGAAAAAUUAUUUUAGAACAAUAUAAAAAUAUCUGUAUACAUGGUAGUCAAACAACAAUUUGAGCAUUGCUAUUAUUUUCCGAAAAUGUAGCUAAGUUUUCUGAAUGAAGAGUGUCCCUUGGAUUCGGUUGGAUUUUAUGCCGCACGACAGAAUUGCUGUGGCCGGAGGGUAAUGUUGUCGCAGUGGGCAAACAAUAAUUGACAUUUCACAUUCGGCUAUUUAUGAUGUAGGCCCAACUAUGUGUGUCCAACUUUGGAGGCUAUUAGGUAUAUGAUAUAUCCAAUUAAUAAGCUCCGCUUAUUUAUUUAUUUUUAUAAAAAUUCAGAUUUUUUUCCCCUAAAAAUAUCCGAUCGAUUCAUUCUUCAAAGAGUGUGCUUACUGCUAAAUAUACAAGAUGAUAGUUGGCAGUUAUUGUCUAGUAAUAUGUAGAUCCCAGAUUGAAUUUGAUUUAAAAUCCAGGAGCAUCGUUCCCGCAAAUGUUUCAUUUUAAAUUUUCUUUGUUUAAUCCAAUGGCAAAUAAAUUUUUCUCGCAUCCGUAUUAAUGGUUCGAACAAAUAAUUUUGUUUUCAGUUCAAGAAAUUUUAUCAAUUUUGUUAAUAAUUAGUACUCACAUAAUUAUUUACUUAUUUUUUUUUAUUUCUUCAAUUCUUAUUGUUUGAAUUAGUUUACAUGAUGAGUAGUGCAAUGUGUCCAUAUAUUACAUAUGAGUGGUAAUUUAUCACAAAUACAGUGACAUUUCAUCCAGGAGUGGCUGUCCUUGUUGAUAAAUUGAAAUUAGCGCAAACCUUGAGGACAGACAUGAAAAAAUGAGAACACGAGCAUGAUUGGUGAUGAGAUAUAAUAUAGCUGAACCCCUGCCUUGACUGAUUCAAUACAAAGGGAGGAAAAAAGAAGGAAAACAGGAGCAAGCAAAUAAGAAAGAAGCAAAUUAUAAUCAUGGCUUCUACAGCUGAUCAGGAAGAAGAGACAAAUAAUUUUUCAUAUGCAAUGGAACUGGCAAGUGCCAUAGUGCUACCUGCAGCUAUGCAAGCAGUGGUAGAGCUUGAUGUGUUUGAGAUCAUAAGCAAAGCCGGUCCUGGUGCUAAGCUUUCGGUUUCGGAAAUUGUGGCUCAAAUUCCCUUAAAAGGUAAUAAUCCUGAAACUGCAGCCAUGACGUUGGAGCGGGUGCUGAGGCUGCUUGUCAGCUACAAUGCUCUUCAUUGCUCUUUUGUUGAUGGACAAAGGCUCUACUCUCUUGCUCCUGUUUCAGCAUACUUUGUUCGCAAUAAUCAAAACGGCGCGUCGUUGCGUCCCUACAUGGCCUGGUGUCUUGACAAGGUCCUCAUGGAUGGCUGGUAUAUAGAAUUACUUUUUCUCUUUUCUUUUCUUUGCUAAUUUUAGUAAAUUAAGGAAAAUUAUCAAAACCUUCUAGUUGUAUAUAUCCAAAAAUUAAUCAUUUGCAUCACAUGUUUUGAACCCAUCAAAAUCCGUCAGCUGCUAAAAAGACAGCUAUCUUCAAUUAUUUUAUUUUGUUGUGGUAAAAAACAAAAAAAAAAGCUUAAAGUCCAAGCGUUUUUGAAAUAUGAAAGUAGAAAGGAUUGAUUGUAACAAACAAUUAAUAAAGUAUUCUUUAUCUUGGUUAAUUAUGCGGUCUAAUUUUACAAACUAAGCUUCUAAAAUUGUUACUAACUGUGUUUGGAUUUUGGAAAAUUCAGGUUUCGGUUGAAAGAGCAAAUUCUUGAAGGAGGAAUGGCGUUUAAUAAAGUGCACGGAAUGGAUAUGUACGAUUACAUGGGCGUUGACUCAAGAUUCAAUGAUGUUUUCAACAAUGGAAUGUCAAGCCACACUUCUGUCGUCAUGGAGAAGGUCCUAGAAUCAUACAAAGGCUUUGAGCAUGUUAAGAAGCUUGUUGAUGUUGGCGGCGGCUUAGGAGCUACUCUUAACAUGAUAAUUUCUAAAUACCCUCAUAUUAAGGGUAUUAAUUAUGAUUUACCUUAUGUUAUUAAAAAUGCCCCAUCUUAUCCUGGUAUGUUACUUACAAAAUUUAUAAAGUAUUUUUGUUAAUGAUUCAUUGAGAUACACGAUAGCUAACAAUUUUUUUUUUUUUUUUUUU